rnacentral:tRNA from 1 species
GACCUCGUGGCCUAAUGGAUAAGGAAUCGGUCUCCUAAACCGGUAAUUGCGGGUUCAAAUCCCGCCGAGGGUA